rnacentral:lncRNA from 1 species
UCUAAGGCGCCAGACUCAAGUUCUGGUCUUCGUGAGAGGGCGUGGGUUCAAAUCCCACUUCUGACAAUUUUAUUUUAUUUUUACAAUAUUUUUUAAAAAAUGAUAUUUAAGUGCCCAAAAUUUAUUAAAACAUUUAUUUUAUUUUAAGGUGGCUCAAAUUCCACUUCUUAAAAUUUUCUUUUCUUUUAAAAUUAAGAUUUG